CCCCAUUUUAUUCCUGCCCUAAAGUUAGUGGGCUGCCCCUAAGUGGGCCUAAGGGUUGGCCCAGUGUAUAUAAACCCUGCUACGUUGCCCUAAUGGGAGGUCUGUGUUUUCCCUUUCUGAACCAGCCGUCGCUCCGCCCCUUCGUACCGCUAGAGCUCUGCUAGGGUUGCCCUGAGGUCCUCCUCGAGCUAGCUCAAAGCUCAAGUCCUACUUCCUGCACGACUUCCUGAUCCGUCUCCCGAACUGCUGUGCUUCGGGGCCCAAUGUCGAGGUCUGUGCGAACCCUUUUCCAGAUGGGCGAGGUCCUCGUGGUCAGCAAGGGAGUGGUGAUCCAGCAGCUUAGCCAUCCGGGCUAGAAUUCGAACGUCUUUCUUUCAUGUUUCUUUAGGGCUAUGGCCCCUGUAUUUGUUGUUACCGGAUUUGUAAACUCUUAGUCAAACUGUUUAUCCUGCUUUUGUUGGCAUCGUGGUGUGCCUGGUUUUGUAGGGGUG